rnacentral:rRNA from 1 species
AACGAACGCUGGCGGCAUGCCUAACGCAUGCAAGUCGAACGAGACCUUCGGGUCUAGUGGCGCACGGGUGCGUAACGCGUGGGAACCUGCCCUUAGGUUCGGAAUAACUCCCCGAAAGGGGUGCUAAUACCGGAUAAUGUCUUCGGACCAAAGAUUUAUCGCCUUUGGAUGGGCCCGCGUUGGAUUAGCUAGUUGGUAGGGUAAAAGCCUACCAAGGCGACGAUCCAUAGCUGGUCUGAGAGGAUGAUCAGCCACACUGGGACUGAGACACGGCCCAGACUCCUACGGGAGGCAGCAGUGGGGAAUAUUGGACAAUGGGCGAAAGCCUGAUCCAGCAAUGCCGCGUGAGUGAUGAAGGCCUUAGGGUUGUAAAGCUCUUUUACCCGGGAUGAUAAUGACAGUACCGGGAGAAUAAGCUCCGGCUAACUCCGCG